AUUGAACGCUGGCGGCAGGCUUAACACAUGCAAGUCGAGCGGAGAUGAGGUGCUUGCACCUUAUCUUAGCGGCGGACGGGUGAGUAAUGCUUAGGAAUCUGCCUAUUAGUGGGGGACAACAUUCCGAAAGGAAUGCUAAUACCGCAUACGUUCUACGGGAGAAAGCAGGGGAUCUUCGGACCUUGCGCUAAUAGAUGAGCCUAAGUCGGAUUAGCUAGUUGGUGGGGUAAAGGCCUACCAAGGCGACGAUCUGUAGCGGGUCUGAGAGGAUGAUCCGCCACACUGGGACUGAGACACGGCCCAGACUCCUACGGGAGGCAGCAGUGGGGAAUAUUGGACAAUGGGGGGAACCCUGAUCCAGCCAUGCCGCGUGUGUGAAGAAGGCCUUAUGGUUGUAAAGCACUUUAAGCGAGGAGGAGGCUACUGAGACUAAUACUCUUGGAUAGUGGACGUUACUCGCAGAAUAAGCACCGGCUAACUCUGUGCCAGCAGCCGCCGCCGUA
rnacentral:rRNA from 1 species